AGGAUGAACGCUGGCGGCGUGCCUAACACAUGCAAGUCGAACGCUCUCCAUUCGGUAGCAAUACUGAUGAAGAGGGAGUGGCGAACGGGUGAGUACCACGUGAGCAACCUGCCCCGAAGACUGGGACAACACCGGGAAACCGGUGCUAAUACCGGAUAUCCCUAUCGGAUCGCAUGAUCUGAUAAGGAAAUGGAUUCCGCUUCGGGAGGGGCUCGCGGCCUAUCAGCUAGUUGGUGAGGUAAUAGCUCACCAAGGCAUCGACGGGUAGCUGGUCUGAGAGGACGAUCAGCCACACUGGGACUGAGACACGGCCCAGACUCCUACGGGAGGCAGCAGUGGGGAAUCUUGCGCAAUGGGCGAAAGCCUGACGCAGCAACGCCGCGUGGAGGACGAAUGCUUUCUGAGUUGUAAACUCCUUUCAGCAGGGACAUUGUGACGGUACCUGCAGAAGAAGCACCGGCCAACUACGUG
rnacentral:rRNA from 1 species